rnacentral:rRNA from 1 species
UACGGAGGGUGCGAGCGUUAAUCGGAAUUACUGGGCGUAAAGGGUGCGUAGGUGGUUUGAUAAGUUAUCUGUGAAAGCCCUGGGCUCAACCUGGGAAGGCCAGAUAAGACUGUUAGACUGGAGUAUGGGAGAGGGUAGUGGAAUUUCCGGUGUAAGCGGUGAAAUGCGUAGAGAUCGGAAGGAACACCAGUGGCGAAGGCGGCUACCUGGCCUGAUACUGACACUGAAGCACGAAAGCGUGGGGAGCAAACAGG